rnacentral:rRNA from 1 species
ACGACGCUGGCGGCGUGCCUAAUACAUGCAAGUCGAACGGUCUUUCUAUGGAAGCUUGCUUCCACUGAGAAGAUAGUGGCGAACGGGUGAGUAACACGUGGGUAACCUGCCCAUAAGAGGGGGAUAACAUCCGGAAACGGGUGCUAAUACCGCAUAGUUUUCUUGAUCGCAUGAUUGAGAAAGGAAAGACGGCCUUUGUGCUGUCGCUUAUGGAUGGACCCGCGGCGUAUUAGUUAGUUGGUGAGGUAACGGCUCACCAAGACGAUGAUACGUAGCCGACCUGAGAGGGUGAUCGGCCACAUUGGGACUGAGACACGGCCCAAACUCCUACGGGAGGCAGCAGUAGGGAAUCUUCCGCAAUGGACGAAAGUCUGACGGAGCAACGCCGCGUGAGUGAAGAAAGGUUUUCGGAUCGUAAAACUCUGUUGUCAGAGAAGAACAAGUUGGAGAGUAACUGCUCCAGCCUUGACGGUAUCUGACCAGAAAGCCACGGCUAACUACGUGCCAGCAGCGGC